rnacentral:tRNA from 1 species
GGCGGCGUAGCCAAGUGGCUAAGGCAGAGGUUUGCAAAACCUUUAUCGUGGGUUCGAUUCCCACCGCCGCCUCCA